rnacentral:lncRNA from 1 species
GUGAGCUAGUUCAUUAAAAUAGAUUCUUUCUCUAAGUUUGUUUCUCUCAUUUAAUCUGUCUCCUGUUCUUUCCGUUUCUCUGUAGAACCUUAACUAAUCCAACUGCAAGAGGCCUGUAGAGAGAAUUGGAGACCAAGAAAUUUGAGGAAAGUUUUGCUGCGGCUUGUAAAGGAAUUUCUGAUGCUCUGCCAUCUGAGGGAGUGCUGCAUUCACUCAGGAUUGAUGUUUUACAUCAAAGUUUAUCCCAACUUGGAAUUACAGAAAUUUUCCUCUGAGAUACCACCCAAACACCCAGAUUUCCUUGGAGGUUACUAUGAGGGUUAAGCACUCAGAGGAAUGGGAUUCAUUCCUUGAAGAAAAAGCACUGAUUCAAAGAGCCUAUAGAUAUUUAAUGGCCAAUCAGUAUUGCUCAGAGGGGAUCUCCUUGGCUUCAUGCAUCAACUGGACCUCAAAAUCCUUGUCAAUGACUGAAAUUGCAAAGAAUUGGAAUAUGGAGGAAUUUUCUAAGGAUGAAAAGGUCCCAGGUCACAACUCUGGCCUGUGUGAGUCACUGUGGUUGAAAAUGCUCAAAAUGAGGCUGCAUCGCUACCUGGAAACUGUGUGUAGUUAAAGGAUGUUUUACUCU